GUGAGGCGUUGAGCUAACCUGUACUAAUUGCCCGUGCGGCUUAACCAUACAACACCCAAG
rnacentral:rRNA from 1 species